GUCAUGAAGUUUUAGAAUUACCUACUGUUACUACUCAAAUGCCUCUCUUCUGAAUGUGUGCUUUGGGCUUGCGUAAAACGGCGGUACAUAAUAGAUAUUCCUUAUCGUUCUGGAACGCAACCUCCCCGUGUCCCUUUUUUUCUGUUUUUCGACUGUUUUGAACAGGGAGUCAUCUGGUACUGAAUAACACAAAUCCUCCGCAUCGAUAUUCAUGCUCUGCAUAACACAUUCAUGCUCUUUGGUUUUCCACCCUAACGUACAAAAUGAUUCUCAGAGACUCUGAAGCGGGCACCCUUGGAGACUACCUUCUCAUGUUUAUCUGCCUCGUUGCUGCAAUCGGGCUAGCCGUGGCAAUCCGAUACUCAUGGAUGAGUGACGCCUACACGGUGGACGAGAAUGGCGACAACUGGGAAGAAUAUGGAGAAGGCAACGAAGCAUACGGAGUUCAAUCGCAUGAUCCAUCACCCGACACUGGAUACUCACCGGCAACACUGCGUAUGCUUACGACGACGGACACAACCAGCAACUUCACCACUUCUGGAAACGACACGUCAUUGACAAUCAUCAGGAUCGUUAAAACUAUAACCGUAACGGUUACAACGAUAACGUCGGGAAUAACGCAGACAACAACGACGACGACGACCAGGACAACCACGUACCACUCGGUUGCGUUACCACGUACUCCUGCCGUUGCGCAAAACCCUCUGGACUGGACAACACUUUCAACAGUUCUCUCUUCGGAAGAUCUGUGCAAGUUCUCCUUCUACCAGAGCUAUGUCGCUGAAGGUUUUGACUUGGAAACCCUCAUUGCUCGCAUUAGGGAAGCGCAAAGGGAGACAAAGUGUAAACACAGUGGAGCAACGACGAUGUACGGAGCAAAAGUGCCAAGCGGCAAUUGUGUGCUACCAACCGCAUGGGAUAAAACUGAAAACAGUGUCCCGCGUGUGUUCGAUGGGCUUCUCAGAAGACGCGUACAUAGUACGAGGUAGUGACAUCUUCAGAGCAAGAGUGAGUGUGCCAUCGACAAAGAAGAAAAGAAAAAGUCUCUAAAAGUGUAUGCUUUGCCAACCGUCUUUUUACCAAUCGUGUGGAGGAAAGAUGGAGAAUGAAGCCCAUUCCAAGCACAUCGAAGGAGAUUCGUGUUUGACACAAUGGCAGAGCUGCUCAGAGUAUAGGUUCAUCGAACGCCUCAACACAGACUGGAUUGGGUCUCAAUCCUUCAUGCGCAUCAGCUCAAUGACCUGGUAUGGCACAAACGACACCAGAAUACAGGCAGGAGUGCUGCAGCUGGAGACAACUGCUACUCACAACACAUCAGCACUACGCAGUGUCAAGCAGCGCCUUCUGUAUCUACAUACUUCGAUACUACUGUACAAUCUGAAGGGCUACACAUAGGUGCUGGGACUUAUACGGAUGCGACCUAAGUUCAAGAUGAUCAACGAAGCUCUGGAGUUUGAAGUGCUCCUUGCUCGUGCAUCUGGUGGCAAACUGAUUCAUGGCGAAGCUGUGGAGAAACAGAGCGAGGGUUACAUAGAUGAAGAGUCUAAUACUGCUGACCACCUGUGCGUGCCACUCUGAGACCUACCAGCACAGCUAUUAAAAAAAGGUUCCUUUCGUGCCACCCCGCAAUUCUACAUGGAGAUAGCGCUGCAGGAAGAACCUAGCUAAAACCCAUAAAGUGCAUUCAGUUAAGCCUUGUGUCCGUCUCUUCUUUGUUCAAUACCUGCAUA